rnacentral:miRNA from 1 species
AUGAAGUUCAGUUGGACUGAA